rnacentral:rRNA from 1 species
UACGUAGGGUGCAAGCGUUGUCCGGAAUUAUUGGGCGUAAAGAGCUCGUAGGCGGUCUGUCACGUCGGCUGUGAAAUCCCGAGGCUCAACCUCGGGUCUGCAGUCGAUACGGGCAAACUAGAGUAUUGCAGGGGAGACUGGAAUUCCUGGUGUAGCGGUGAAAUGCGCAGAUAUCAGGAGGAACACCGGUGGCGAAGGCGGGUCUCUGGGCAAUAACUGACGCUGGAGGAAGCGAAAGCGUGGGGAGCGAACAGG